GACGAACGCUGGCGGCGUGGAUUAGGCAUGCAAGUCGAACGGUAUCAUCCUUUCGGGGGUGAGAGAGUGGCGAACUGGUGAGUAACACGUAGGUUAUCUACCCUCAAGACGGGGACAACCCAGGGAAACUUGGGCUAAUACCGGAUGUGAGCAACUUUUAGUUGUUUGAAAGGUGGCGUAAGCUGUCGCUUGGGGAUGAGCCUGCGUCCUAUUAGUUAGUUGGUGAGGUAACGGCUCACCUAGGCAAUGAUAGGUAGGCGGCCUUAACGGGUGGUCGCCCACACUGGGAUUGAGAUACGGCCCAGACUCCUACGGGAGGCAGCAGUCGAGAAUAGUCUACAAUGGUCGGAAGACUGAUAGUGCGACGCCGCGUGAACGAUGAAUCCCUUCGGGGUGUAAAAGUUCUUUUAUAUGUGAGCAGUGCUUCUUAUAUUAACAGUAUGGGGAGAGAGAUAUUAGCAUAUGAAUAAGCAAACGGCUAAACUCCGUGCCAGCAGCCCGAGGUAAAAA
rnacentral:rRNA from 1 species